rnacentral:rRNA from 1 species
GUCCAUGCCGUAAACGUUGGGCACUAGGUGUGGGGGACAUUCCACGUUUUCCGCGCCGUAGCUAACGCAUUAAGUGCCCCGCCUGGGGGAGUACGGCCGCAAGGCUAAAACUCAAAGGAAUUGACGGGGGCCCGCACAAGCGGCGGAGCAUGCGGAUUAAUUCGAUGCAACGCGAAGAACCUUACCAAGGCUUGACAUGAACCGGAAACACCUGGAAACAGGUGCCCCCGCUUGCGGUCGGUUUACAGGUGGUGCAUGGUUGUCGU